UACGUAGGUGGCAAGCGUUGUCCGGAUUUACUGGGCGUAAAGAGCGCGCAGGCGGUCGUUCAAGUCGCGUGUGAAAGCCCCCGGCUCAACUGGGGAGGGUCACGCGAUACUGAUCGACUCGAAGGCAGGAGAGGGUAGUGGAAUUCCCGGUGUAGUGGUGAAAUGCGUAGAUAUCGGGAGGAACACCGGUGGCGAAGGCGACAUCCUGGACCGGUAUUGACGCUGAGGCGCGAAAGCCAGGGGAGCAAACGGG
rnacentral:rRNA from 1 species